UUUUGCCACUGAAGUCCAUCCUGUGCCAGGAGAAGAUCCCAGAGUCAGCCCAGCAGCAGCUGGAUGAGGCAGAAGGAGGUGGUGAUGAUGAUUCCAUUUCAACCAGAUGUGAUUUUUUUCUGCUGAGGAAGGAGGUGCAGAGGAGCAGGGCAGAGCCAGGAUCCAUCCCCAGCACCUUCCUGCCCUCCUGUCCCACAGCCAGGACAGGGCCUUCAGAAGCUCCAGUGCUGGAGCAGAGCCAGGAGGAAUCUGAAGCAGCCAGCAGCCAGCUCACAAAAGUAUCCACCAGGAGAAGCCAGGAACUUGCCACUGCAAAGAGCUCUCUGCCUACACAACCUUCAGCUCUGCAGGCCCUGAGCAGCAAGGUAAGGCCAGGAGACCUCAGCAGGCACUGGUGCACAUCUCACCUGCUGCCACAUGCCCAAAGCACAGCUCUCCACUCUGCUUUUCCCAUUGCCCUAGAGAAGCAGCACUGCUUUCUUUGGGCAGCAUUUAAAGCAAGUCAUUAUAGUUGUGAUGGGCACCUUAAGUAACAGCCUCAGGUGAUAAAAGACAACAAAAGAGAAUGCUUGGGGUCACCUGAGCAGGACUUGAGGAGGUUCUGAAGGACAUUCCUCAGUCCCUGGUCAUUCCUCAGCUGCUAAGAGCACUGUCAGGGAAGAGCUCCUGUGGUUAGGGGUUUAAAAAGAGAGGCUGAGUUCUUGCAACUCAGUGAGUUCAUGGAGGGAACAGCCCAAGAGAUGCUGCUCCCCACAAAAAAGAGAAGGGAAAGAGUUGAAAACAGUCCAUGGGGAUCAAUCUUCCCACAGUGAGCUUCUCCUCAUCCUUCCUUGCCCAGGGCAGGUGGUUGAGGCCCCAUCCCUGGAGACAUUCAAGGUCAGGCUUGAUGUGACUCUGAGCAACCUGCUCUAGCUGGGGGGGUCCCUGCUGACUGCAGGGGGUUGGGCUGGGCUGGGUGAGCUCCAGAGGGGUCCCCUCCAGCCCAACCCAUUCUGGGAUUCUCUGACAAUCCAAGCAGUGGCAGCUGUUGACUUCCCCUCAGCCCGAGUUGUUCUCCUGAGCUGUGCCAGGGGAGUGAGCAGGAACCCAGCUCCACUCCCCCCAGAGCAGAGCCAUGCUGGCAGCACCCAGCUGUUGGCAUGGAGCUGACUCCUGCCCCUACUGCUGCCAACCUGGCAGCUUCCCUGGGAAGGUCCCAGCCUCGGAGGGGGCAGCAGAGUGCACAAACUGGCUGCAGCCAUGGAGGUCCAUCUCAGAGAGCAGCUGAUGCAGGCUGGGGCCUCUCUGCAUGGAUUCUCCUCUGGCUGGCACCACCAAACCCCCUCCUCCUUCCUAACUCACAUCUUUCAUUCCUAUGGUUUUUUGGUUUGGAGUUUUAAGGGAGAAUUUAAACAGAAUUAAACUUUUUCUCUUGCAAACCCAGCACCAAGACUCUCUCCUUACCCCAGCUUCAAGGCCAUGUUUUCCCCACUGGAGGUUUUAACAUGUCCAGGUGGCUUCUGCAAGAGUCCCAUGUGUGAGAACAGGACCUAACUCAGCACUGCCUGGUGGGAGAGCAAACACAAACUUCCCCUUUUGGUCACUGGACAAGGAACCUGUGCCAUCAACAUCAUCCAGCAGGGAGCUGAACCACAAGCAGCAAAUGUCUGAGCUGGUGCUAGACAGAGGGGACAAGGCUGUGAGGCAGAAUGACCACUAAGGCAUGGACUGAGGUGAUCCUUGAACUCCUUUCCAACCCAAACCAUUCUAUGCUCAAAGGCAGAGUUCAUUCUAUUCCUAUCAUCAAAGUUCUAAAGCUUUGAGGGGAGGUGGGGGAGGGUCAGAUGUUACCUCUCUCCUUGCACAAAGCAGCAAUCAGAGGAAGCUCUCCAGAAGGAAUUUUUCUGGCAGAUUCCUUUUCCCUUCCCCCUUUUUAAAAAUUAAUUUUAAGCUGGGAUAUAAAUAUGCAGAGCUACCAAGAGAGCAAAACACUUUUAUUCAGCCCCAGGAAGCUCCCAAGCUUUACAGGGCACAGCUCCUGGCUCUAAAGCUGCAGGGAAUGAACCAACUCUCACCCUGUUUGCUUGCACAACCAACCUGGGCCUCUCCUGGUUUGGAGAUGGGCAGAUGCAGGGAGAAGUCAGAGCUGGGGAGGUCAAAGAACUGGGAUGAAGGGGAGAGCUAAGGCAGGGAAGUUUGGGAAGGUGACUCUUUGCCAAAGGGCAAGACUCCAGAGUUUAGUUUUCCUCAUAAGCCUCUGGCUUAUGUUGGAACUGGGAUUGAACCCCCUGGUUUAACUGGGACUGGUACAAAUGGUUAAGGCACACAGAUGCUGCCUUCCCUGCCUGAGGCUGCAGUAAGGACACAAAAUGCUGUUCCCCAGUUGCUUGGCCAAUGCAGGGGCUGGACAGGAGGAGGAGAACCCUCCUCCUUCAGUAGACACCAUGGCAAAGGAGCCAGAGAUGGAGAGAGCUGGUCUGGGAUGGUUCUGCCUUCCCCAGUGUGGGACUGGACAGCAGUGUGGGGAGACAGAGGGAAAAACCUCUUAGGGAUGAGGGAGUGGCUCCUGGUCACACACUCACUGCUCUGGGAGGUGCAGCCUGCUCCUGGGACAACAGCACACAGCUGGAGGGCACCAGCAGGCCCCUGCCUGGCACCCUCAGAGCUCACCCCUCUGAUCCUUCUCUCCCAUCCAUCUCUCAUCCUGCACUAUGAGCCCCCCACCACCACCCAAACAGCACUGGCAGCCACUUGCAGACAAGAAGGAAGGAAAAUUACCUCAGAAAACCUAAAAUGUAGAACUUUAGGGCACCUUUCAAUCAAUCAUUGAAGCCAAUGAUUCACCCAGAGUGGAAGGGCACAGAAAACAUUAAAACUGGGCUCAGGUCCCACUCCAGGGAAGGGGCUGGGAGAGGGGAAAAAAGUGUUGAGAAUCCAACUGGUACUGAGAACUGGGGGAGUCCUCUUCACCUCCUGGGCCAAGUGUUAAGAAGCAGGCAUCUACCAAGGUAAGGACCAAGUGUCCUUGGGACUAAACCUUAAUUCUCACCAGAGGGAAGCAGAUUAAACCCAGCAGCUAUGUACACAUCAGCUGUAGCUUCACACACCUUAGGAAAAAAGCAGCUUCCAAUGCCCUCCUGCUCACUUCUCAAGGCUAUGAAAUGUUCCUUGUCUUUCUGCAACCUCUUUGCCUACAAGGCCCUCACUAGAAGAGGAAUUUUGCUGCCUUUUCUUUGAAGAAAAGAUUUUGCAGGAUUUUUUUU